GGGCCCGUAGUCUAGCGGUAGGAUGCCACGCGUGUACGCGCAUCAGUCCCUGACGCGGAGGUGAUCCCGGGUUCGAAUCCCGGCGGGCCCACCA
rnacentral:tRNA from 1 species